rnacentral:pre_miRNA from 1 species
UAAAUACUCCCUCCGUCCGGAAAUACUUGUCAUAAGGAUGGAUUUAUCUAGAUGUAUUUUAGUUCUAGAUACAUCUUUUUUAUCAAUUUGUGUGACAAGUAAUUCCGGACGAAGGAAGUACACU